AAUGUAGACCCUUUGAUUUUAACUGCAAUUUUAAAACUUCAAGAAUCAUUUCGAUUUAUUUUCAGAAAAAUUUGUCAGUCAAAUUCUAAGUUUGGGUUGACAAAGUAUUAUUUGAUGAAAAUCAAAUGGACCGUAAUGUUUGAAGGAGAACUAAUUUAAUGAACAAAAGAUUCAUUUAAUUUAAGGAAUGAGAGAUUUCCGUCCAUUAAUUC
rnacentral:lncRNA from 1 species